rnacentral:rRNA from 1 species
AUGACGAACAAGAAGCCUACUUGGUCCUCCUCGGCGUCCGCCUGCUCCGGGGGCUCCCGCAUUGGGUUAUCCUGCGCGGUGACGAACCAGAAGAGGAAGAAGAGGGCCAGGAGCGACGCCGUCGUUCUCCCGUCGAGGGGGUCGUCCGUCUACAGAGGCGUGAGCAGGCACUGCGCCUCGGGGAAGUACGAGGUGCACCUGUGGGACAGGCAUUACCGGAGCACGGUUCAGAACAGGAGAGGCAGGCAAGGAGCUUAUGACACCGAAGAGGCUGCAGCUCGCACCUAUGACCUCGCGGCGCUCAAGUACUGGGGUGCACAGUGCGGCGGCCUCCUCCUUAACUUCCCAGUGGACACGUACAAGGACGAGCUGGAGAGGAUGCAACGCGUGACCAGAGAGGAGUACGUGGCCAUACUCAGGCGCGACAGCAGUGGCUUCGCCAGAGGCGCCUCCAAGUACAGGGGAGUAGCAAAGCAUCACAAGAAGGGCCGGUGGGAGGCGAGGAUAGGCUGCGGUAGCGGCAGCGGCGGCGGCAGCAAGAGAUACCUCUACUUGGGGAUAUUCAGUGUGUUCUCUAUCGCUCUGUCCUUGCAAGUUCGCUCUAUCACGUUUCUGUGGCUCAUCACAAGAAACGGCACUCUCAAUCUGCAUGCAGUUACCCAGGAAGAGGCGGCCCGGGCGUACGACCUCGCGGCGAUACAACUCCGGGGCCUCGCCGCGGUCACCAACUUCGACGUCGAUUCCUACUGCGUGGACCAGCAGCUGCAGCCGCCCCUCUGCAAGGUCGACUUAGACCCGGAACCGGCAGGGCAACUGUUGCUGCCCAAGGUCGAGCCCAAGGAGGAAGAGCCCGAGCCCGUGCCGGUGCUCCAGGACGACGUCGACUGCGCCAUCGCCGAGGUGCUGCAGGCGCUCUGCAUGGACCGCGCCGACUUCGAGGCCAGGUACCCGCCCCGCGGCGCUCCCGGACGGUGGCCGUCUGACGACGACCUGCGCGAGCUGCCGGCUGACAUGGGCUUCGAGGACGACAUCGAGAGCGUGCUCUUCGACGCGCCGCCCGCCGCCUGA